CCCAGAAAGGGUUUUAUGAAGAGAAUUAUUGAUUAUUUAUAUUUAGAGAUCCCAGGCAGUCAGAGCAGCCUGCUAUAGUGGGACUGUGUGUGCUGACUUACUUAAAGGACCAUUAUGCUAAUGAGCCAGCUUGUCCCCACCUGCAGGACUUGAGAACAAGCUAAGGAAGGUAUUGGUAGUGGUGGUGGGGUGACACCCCAUUGGUUAAACUGGAGCAGAUCUAGUGCAUGCAGGGCUCAGGAGCAGCUGGAAGAAAAGACCAAAAUAUCAGAAUAAAGGCUGGAGAUACUCUCAGUAUCAGGGAUUUAAACCAACUCUCAGAUGCCAUUUACCACUGAAGAUAGGAG